rnacentral:lncRNA from 1 species
AGGUAUGCUUACGUGGCUGCUUUUAAUAGAAAUCCUUUUGGUAGUGUUUAUCUGAAAACCCCUGGUUUUCAGUGGGAGGGCCUGAUGAUAAGAAUAUGCAAGUUAUCUCUCAGUACUCUUUUGAUGCAAAAAAAAUCUCUGAAACCCAUUGUUCCCGUUUUAUAUAUAUUAGUAGGAAGUAGCAAUAUUGCUGGGUUAUGUCUAAAUGGUCGCCAGUGAUCACUCGCAUGUGCUUGUCAUUUUAUGAUUUCUUUGUUCCCUGCUUGUCUCUGCAAAUGCUUUUUCCAAUUCAGGAUUUUAUUGCUUAUGGAUUAUCUUUCUGAAAACAGCACAUAGUUAUCUUAAGUUCAUUGCAUCAUUGGCCACGCCCUGAAUGUUUCCUUGUGUUUAAAAUGUUUUGUACUCUAAUUUCACGCAGUGAUUAGAACAAAAAAUUUGAAGCCUAUGUUUCUUUUAAGCUAUUUCUGAAACUUUGAAUAACUAGUGAUGUAACUUUUUUGAAUGUAUUAUCUUGUUUAGAUUAGGUUAGUAUUGUUAGCUUAUCUUGCUUAAAAUAUUUUGAAUCAGUGAAGUUAAUGCGGAUAUCAAUGUUUCUUUCAAACUGUUCCUUGAAUGAAAUCUCUCUCUGUGGAAUCUUGCAGGGUUGGCAGGCAAAUCGUUAAUGUCCCAUCGUUCAUGGUGAGGGUGGAGUCUGAGAAGCACAUUGACUUUUCACUGUCAAGCCCGUUCGGUGGAGGCCCCCCAGGCAGGGUGAAGAGGAAGAACCUGAAGAAGGCAAGUGGCGGUGGCGGCGAUGGUGGUGAUGAGGAUGAGGAGUGAGGAUGAACAAGUAGCAUGGCCCCAAUAUAAUAUUAUCUAGUUUUCAUAAACAUGUUCCUAUCAUGAGUACUUAGCUGGGUGACCAGAUGCUCAGUCCCCUGUGCUGACUCUGCGUCAUGGAUGGUUAUCAUUUUAUCUUGUGUUACUAGCCUAUACUUAGCUGCUAUGUUUGGAGAUGUUUAAUCCUGUGGUUGGUUUUUGACUUAUGCUCUGUUGCUAUUAAGCUGUUCCUGUUUUCUUUUGGCCAAUGAUUUGCUGAAGCAUCAUUCAUAAUCUGCCUCAGUUGCCUUUGGUUGUAUUGAUCGGGGCAUGUGCUGAAAUUUUGUUGCUGUGAGAGUAUUAACGAAUGGUUUGUGGAUAUUUUAUGUGACCAUAAUUAUGCGACGUUGUAGCAUACUGCGGUCGGAUGUGGAUGUUGGUUGAGGCCUUUUUUAAAUUCCUUCUAAAGUCCAAAAACUUUUUAAGAUUUACUAUCACAUCAAAUUUUACGGCAUAUAUAUAGAGCAUUAAAUAUAGACAAAAAUAAUAAUUAAUUACAUAGUUUAUCUAUAAAUUUAUGGUACAUGCAUAGAGCACUAAAUAUAGAUAAAAAUAAUAAUAAUUAAUUAAUUACAUAGUUUAUUUGUAAAUUAUGAGACGAAUUUUAAAGUUUAGUUAAUUUAUAAUUAAAUAAUAAUUGCUAAAUACAAACUGAAGUAUGUGCUCAUAAACUUUUCACCAAUCUAACUAAACAAGGUCAAGGUCUGAUUUUAGUUAGUCUUUUUGCAAAGUCUUUCAUCAAGCUUCUAAAGUUUGUUUCUAAAGUUUCAAGUGAUGGGCAAGGGCAAUGUAGAAAUGGAUAUAAGAGUGCUAUGUUUUCUUUAAAUAAAAAAAAUAAAGGAGUACUAGAAACCUAUUAUGGUAUGAUUACAUUGGUAAAUUAUCAAAGCAUCGACGGUGGCCCUGUUUAGUUUAAAAGAUUUCUCAAAUUUUUUUUAAGAUUUCUCGUUACAUCGAAUACGUACACAUAUAUAUAGGGCAUUAAAUAUAGAUAAAAAAUAAGUAAUUACACAAUUUAUUUGUAAUUUGUGAGACGAAUCUUUUGAGCCUAGUUGAUUUAUGAUUUGCAAUAUUUAUUAAAUAUAAACAAAAAAGCUACAGUAGAGCAGACAAACUCAAAAUUUUCCACCACUGGUGUAGUGGUGUAUUUGUCAAUGUCAUGGUGAGUAAACUCAUUCUUGAACUAACGUGACUCGUGUGUACUCUGAAUCCUCGAUAAGCGCAGAGCUAAAGAUUAUGUACACGUAAAAAAACUAAAAGUUAUACACGUGAUGUGGUCUCUAAAAUUAUUUUGAUCAUCUAUUUUAUUUUAAUUUAUGAUUUUAUAUUAUUUAUCCAUAAAAACUUAUGAUAAUUGGAUAGUAGAUUUUAAUUACAAAUCUAACAAUAUCAAAUUUGAGUUGUGAUAAUAAAAAAAUAUGUUAGUCAAAUUAUUGGUCAAAUAUUUAAAGUUUGAAUUUUGAUAUGUGUAUAUGCCUUAUAAAAGAGAAUGGUAGUAGAUUUGUUGGCCCUUCGCCUCGUACUUGCCCUCGCCACUGCCCAUUGCCCCGUGCGCGAGCACUAGGGUUCGUCGGAGCUCCGCGCACCCUAGCGCUCGUGGCAGCCGUCUUCUUCCUCUCUCCUCUUUGGCACAACAAGCUCUGGCAAUGGCAACCUUUCUACAGCUAUGGCGCCCUCACUCCUCCCUAACUCAGGUGCUCGUCCUCCUUCCCCAUCGUGGGGUCGGGUGCCUCCUCCGAGUAAACUCUUCUAUGUCCACCAGAGUUUAGGAAGACGAGAGGGAGAGCUCGCCAAAAAAACUAAUGAGUAGAUCCAAGAGGAGGAAGCUGUCUACCUCGCUAGAGUUGAACCCAUCGUGGUCGGAGCUAGACCUGCCGAAACCCCAAGCCGGCGCGGGCAUCGGGAGGAGAGGAGAUAAGGUGCGGUGCGAGAAGAGCGUGGGGCAAGGCGUGGAAAGGAGCUCCGUUGCUUGGGACUUGGGUCGGAUGAUUGAUGAAUAAACCCAUUAUUAGAGACGUGCAUAAAGAUUUAGAAUACUUGACAUUUAAUAGAAAAAAAUGUUUUUUUUUGCGAUUUUAAUAGAAAAAAUGUUGAGAGUCAUACGGUCUCUUUGGUAGAGAUUAUUGAAACUUGACAAAAGACCUGCCACAUCAAAAUAUCAUUUUCACUAUAGAAAAAAACAUCAGGGCAAGCCUUUUCUUUUUACACGGGCAUGGUAAAACCAAAACUUAAAACAAAAUGGUUGCAGACGCUAUUAUAUUUUUGUAAUGCAUGUGCCGUAGAAGGCUACUAUAACCAACCAUAGAAGGGAGGCGUGGAGUUGCUUUGAUCUCAACAAGGAACGUUCUGAACAUGAAAAGAAAAUGAUGAUGUAAAUUGCACAUAUAAAUGACAUGCUUCCAGACAUGUUUAAAAAUAAAUAUUCUAAUUCUGAAUAUUACAAUCAAUUUACUCAUGGCAUAGCCAAAAAUAAAUGUCACAUACAGGACCAAGAUCAUUUAAAAAGUUUGCAUAAAAGAAAUACAUCUACUGAGACCAUUUCAGUAUUUAUCAUGGUAAGUACAUGAAAAAGGUAGAUUAAAAACAUAAACAUCGUUGUUUACGUAUAUUUUGCUCUCAAGCCAGUGGGCUGUUACUCUCUAUAUGAGCAAAGGUUUUUCUUGACAAAAUAUGUAGUGCAAAACCCUAUGUAUGGGUUGAAACAUAGACCCAUUUCAAAAAAAUACUUCCAGUGCUUGGAAAUUUUUAAGAUGGUGCACAUCCAAAAUGUAUCGAUAAAUGUACUUUGGGGCAUAAAUUGGAAUUCAAAUUGAAACUAAAAAAUAAUUCAAAAAUAACAAAAUAGGAAUAUGCACUUGAGUUUUAUAAUUUUGGUAUGAUUUUUUAUAAAUGAGUUUGAAUCCAACUUUUACAACAAAACAAAUAUUUUGAAACUACAACAAAACACAUAUGAAUGAAUACACUAUAGAUGUACACCUUUUAAGAAAAUCUAAGUGAUGAAAAUAUAUCUCUAAAAUAAAUUACAUGUUUCCACCUUUGCAGUCAUAUUUUGUCCAAAUUUGACGAUGCUUGCGUCAGAAGCUAGUAGCCACAAGCUAGCCCUUGUUUACUUCUACUUUUUUUUAAAAAAAUAGUAAUUUCGUUUGUAUUUGACAAAUAUUAUCCAAUCAUAGACUAACUAAGCUCAAAAUAUUUAUUUUGUAAAUUAUAAGUAAAUUGUGUAAUUAAUCAUUUAUCUAUAUUUAAUGUUUGCCGUAAGGUUCGAUGGCAAUCUGGAAAAAUUUUGCAAAACCGCCGAACCCGAACCCAGACUCCGCCGAUUCGCUCCCUAUCUCUGCAUACCCGCAUUUUGUCUACCCUGUUCCUCUCCUCACCGCGCGCGUACGCCGCCGCCGCUCACCUCACCGAACCCUAAACCCCAGCCACCGUCCCCCCCGAGGACCGCCGCUCCGGGCGGAGACCCUAGGCGUCGCCGGAGGCCCCAGCGGCCGGGGCACGCGGCGGAGGAACCCGGAAAGCGACUCUCCCUCCCCUCCCCUUACUGGGGGAGGGAGAAACUAGCGGAGGAGGCGAAUCAGGUCAGAGGCGGGCAAGAUGAGGAUCAUGAUCAAGGGAGGCGUGUGGAAGAACACGGAGGAUGAGAUCCUCAAGGCGGCCGUGAUGAAGUACGGCAAGAACCAGUGGGCUCGCAUCUCGUCGCUGCUCGUCCGCAAGUCCGCCAAGCAGUGCAAGGCCCGCUGGUACGAGUGGCUCGACCCGUCAAUCAAGAAGGUACCCACCCGACUGCUCGCCUGUCUUACGGAUCUGUCUCUCCUCUCUCGGUAGACUAUCCUCUCCGCAGGGCCGCCCCAUUCUAUUACUGAUUUUUGCCUGUGUUUGGAGUGUCAUUCUGUUAAGGAUCUAGUGGUACAAGCGCUGUGAGAUGUGAACUGCUCAUUUGCGUGAAGUGAGAUGGUCUAACGAUUUUGUGCUAUACCUUAUCUUCUCUUACUAUAUGCACUGUUCUAAAAAUCAGUAGCUGGUAUUUGUAGGGAUUGGAUGGGUUUCCCUUCUUAUAUCAAUUAUAUGUGGUAAAUAGGACCACACUUUCCUUUAAAAUGGUCUAGCAGCCAUGUUUAGAACACUGUCUGAAUCCUGCUGCAUUGGUAAGGCCGCAAUUCACAAUUAGAGGGCAACUGUCACUGGAUGGUGUCUAGUUCAUCCAAAUCAGUAAAGGUGUGAUAAUAAUUAUUCUGGAGUGGUUUUGUGAUGACACAGUUUAGUUGUUUUGAAUAAAACUUUUCAGCAGACCAGAACAUUGUCUGCUGAGAAAGGGGAAAGCACUAGAAGUGGAUAAGUGAUUUCCUUUCCUCUGAAAUCUUUUCUUUGCAAUUUAGUGUCGUGAUGCAAAGGAGCCAGUGGACUCUUCCUUUUAUUUUGCCUUUCCAUAUGGCUUACCAGGUCCCUCCCAGCCUUUGGAACAAUGAUUCCUGUAUUCUAAAAGAAAAAAAAAAUACAAUUUUUGUAUGCAUUUAUGGAAUGGAACAACAAUAUGAUUUAUGUUCUAUGAACCUUGAUUAAUAUGCUGGUUAUGGAUUGUGUCAAUCUCUAUCAUUGGAUGACUAAGUGUUAUCCUUUCACAAGCAUCUGAACUAGUGAACUUUAGAAUCAGAUAAAAAACAUCUGCUUUCAUCUUGAACAUCUUGAGCUUCAAGUUGGUGGUAAUACAAAAUAUUAGCAUCCUUACUUUAGUAGGUUAUAUUGAUUCUAAUGCCUUUUGGAGCCAGAUAGCAAAUUGUUAUCUUUUGGUUUUUGUCUUGCUAAGCAUCCAUGUUUACAUGCUAUAUGGUUCAGCAUCAGCUUAUAACAUCUAUUAUUUCUACUACCUAGACAACAUACAUUUCAACAUAGAUAUUAACUAAUGAAAAGUUUUAGUCAAUUAGUCUAGUUGUCACUAUAUGUAACUGGACUAAGCACCUGAAUCAUUUUUUUCUUGCUAAAAGAUAAAUUUUCUAGUGUUUUAAGUAAAAUUGGAUAUUUUGGUUGUGACUUGUGAGAAAUGUCUAUAGCAGAUGUAAACUACUAAAAGAAGGUUUGUUCCACUGGGUAGAUACUUUAUUUUUGUCUGAAAUUAUGCUGAAGGACAGCUCUUUUAAUUGGAUUUGGUUAUUCAAAGUGGUCCACUGUGUCGCAAUCAGUGGCACGCCACUUCUACAGUUAGGUUCUCAGUAUAGCUUUAGCAGCAGCAGUGGUUUAAGUUUUAUCAUGUCAUACUGUGAAAAUGCACCUAGAUAGUUUAUUAAGUUUCAAUUAAUAAGAUAAACAGGUUGAUUCAACUCUUAAUUGGUAACGUGAUUUCUAAUUUUACUUUCUCUAGUCUUAAUGUAUUUAAUUGCAGGAACAGGGUGAAAUAUGAAUAUUAAUUAAUGGACCAUUAACAUACUGUAGUUAAUAAAGAGUCUACAUAUCUUUGUUUUGGAACUGGUUAGCUUCUGGAAUUUUUUAGUGUUCAUAGAUUUCUAGUUGUUGCUGUGCAAUGAUUGGUUAUUACUGGCUGCUGGCUUGCAGCUAUUUUGGCUAAUGUCAGUUUUUAAUUGACAAGUGUUCCAUGGUAACAUAGAGCUAAUAAAAUUUUUCAUGCUUUAAUAUUUAUAAGAUGAAUGUGUUCUAAGUUUAUUAGUCAACUUUUUUCUGAUAUAUAAAAUUUGUACAACCUAUGUUAGUAUUUUCAUCAUUGUAUUGAUAGUUUGAUAUAACAUGGAAUGCUACUAGCAACUACAAUUCACUUUUGUAAGCAUUGCAUUAAUGACGAAGUGCUGUGUCUAUAUUUUUAUCUCUUCCUGUGACUAUUCACGUUUUGCUGCUUAAAGAUAGAAGACAAAGGUUUUCAGUUUUCUCUUAGGAUAUUCUGUUAUGUGUCCAGAAGAUUGCUAUAUUUGAUGCAGCUUUUGUUCUCUUGCUGUGUUGAGUGUUAAUACUUAAUACCUUUUCCAUGUAACAUGCUUUGUACACUGUUUAGGGUUUUUUUUAUUUAAUUAAAAAGCACAUACUAGGGGCUCAUGUUGUGUUUCAAGUCUAGCCUACCCCAACUUGCUUGGGACUAAAUUCAUAUUGUCUGCAACAUAUUGAAGUGAAUGAUUUAAAUAACCCAUAACCUUCAAAAUAGUUCUUUCAUUGGUCAUGUGCUGUAUUAUGGCAUAGGUCUGUCUUGUUUACUGCUGUCUGUCAUGAAGAUGAAUCUUUUAUCAUUCACUCACUGUGCUAACUCAUCUAUGUUAAUUUCAGACUGAGUGGACAAGGGAAGAGGAUGAGAAGCUACUUCAUCUUGCUAAACUCAUGCCUACUCAGUGGAGGACAAUUGCACCUAUUGUAGGUCGAACACCAUCUCAGUGUCUUGAACGUUAUGAAAAAUUGCUUGAUGCUGCAUGUGCAAAGGAUGAAAAUUAUGAGGCUAAUGAUGACCCUAGGAAGCUGCGGCCUGGUGAAAUUGACCCAAACCCUGAGUCAAAGCCUGCACGUCCUGAUCCUGUUGAUAUGGAUGAAGAUGAAAAAGAAAUGCUUUCUGAGGCUAGGGCUCGCUUAGCUAACACUAGGGGUAAAAAGGCAAAACGGAAGGCAAGAGAGAAACAACUUGAAGAGGCAAGACGGCUUGCCUCACUACAAAAAAGGAGAGAGUUGAAGGCGGCUGGUAUUGAUACACGCCACAGAAAAAGAAAGAGAAAGGGGAUUGACUACAAUGCCGAGAUCCCAUUUGAAAAGAGACCACCUCCAGGUUUUUAUGACACUGUUGGUGAAGACAGGCCACUUGAACAUGUGCAGUUUCCAACAACCAUUGAGGAGCUUGAAGGGAAGAGAAGAGCAGAUAUAGAGGCACAGUUAAGAAAACAAGAUAUUGCCAGGAACAAGAUCCUGCAGCGACAGGAUGCCCCUGCUGCUAUAAUGCAAGCUAAUAAACUAAAUGACCCAGAAGCUGUCACAAAGAGGUCAAAGCUAAUGCUGCCGCCUCCCCAAAUUUCUGACCAUGAGUUAGAGGAGAUAGCAAAGAUGGGCAGUGCUGGUGAUCCUGCUUUAGCUGAUGAGCUUGGUGAAGGAAGUACUGCCACAAGAACUUUGCUUGCCAGCUAUUCUCAGACUCCAAGACUUGGUAUGACACCAUUGCGAACUCCGCAACGAACUCCAGCUGGGAAGGGUGAUGCAAUUAUGAUGGAGGCAGAAAAUCUUGCACGUCUUAGAGAAUCACAAACACCUCUGUUAGGAGGUGACAACCCAGAGCUUCAUCCAUCAGAUUUCUCUGGUGUUACACCACGUAAGGAGAUACAGACACCAAAUCCAAUGGCAACACCUUUGGCAAGCCCUGGACCUGGUGUUACUCCAAGGAUUGGUAUGACUCCAUCUAGAGAGGGGCACAGCUUUGGUUUAACACCAAGAGGAACUCCUUUUCGUGAUGAACUGCGCAUAAAUGAAGAAGUGGAAAUGCAGGACAGCACUAAACUUGAGCUUCGUAGGCAAGCUGAACUGAAAAAAAGCCUGCGAUCUGGUUUUGCUUCUAUUCCACAGCCAAGGAACGAGUACCAGAUAGUCAUGCCACCUAUUACAGAGGAUGAGGCAGAAGAAGCUGAAGAGAAAAUUGAAGAGGACAUGUCAGACAGACUGGCACGAGAAAGGGCUGAGGAACAAGCUAGGCAGGAGGCAUUGCUCAGAAAGAGAUCCAAAGUGUUGCAGAGGAGUCUGCCUAGGCCGCCUGCUGCUUCAGUAGAAAUUAUCCGGCAAUCUCUUAUUAGAAGCGGAGAAAGCAGAAGCAGAAGCACCUUUGUGCCUCCUACAUCACUUGAACAAGCUGAUGAACUAAUAAAUGAGGAGCUCCUUAGGCUUCUUGAGCAUGAUAAUGCAAAAUAUCCUCUUGAUGAAAAAACUCAAAAAGAGAAAAAGAAAGGGAAGCGUCAGCAAAAUGGGGGAGCUCUUGUCCCUGAAAUUGAUGAUUUUGAUGAAGAUGAACUAAAAGAGGUGCUAUUCUUUUUCUCUGCCCGCCUAUAUUAGCAUUCGACUAUUCAUGAACUCUUAUCUCCUCUUUCCUUAUAAUUUCACCAUGACCCACCACACGUACAGUUUCACGGUACUAUCAUAUUAGGUGCACAAACAGUAACUUGAGAACCGAUGUGCACAUCUGCCUGUAUCACACUGACACCAUAAUGUUUGUUAUUUGCAUUACUUAAUUACCAAUCACAUUUAGUUAAUUGAACCGAGGUCAAGUAGCACGCACAAUGCAUUAUGAAAACAUGCUUUUCAAGUUCUCAUUUGGUUUAAUAGCAAAUGCAUAGAUUUACGUGAGUAAUAUCCUAUAAGGCAGAGGACUUAGUUAACAUAAAUUAUAAGAAAUUUCAGGUACACAAAACUUUAGCACAUUGUUUAAGAGUUAAGACAAAUUAUAAGAAAUUUCGGGUACACAAUAUUUGGACAUAUUCUUUAAGAGUUACGACAUUAAUUUUACAAUUAGAAUCUUCUUUCGAGUGCAGAUGAUUAGAAUUGUCAUCUGCAAGUGAUGUGUGAAUUAGCACUGUCAUUUUUAUGGCAUUCAACUUUGCACACUAGAGUACUCUAUAUGCACUGUACUGUUGUCAACUAGAUAGCUUUGCAUUUUAGUUUUCAUGAAUUGAUACUACAUACAUACAUGUUUUUGUGUUGAAAUCAUGCCAAUAACACUAAAUUGGACAUUUCGAUGGAUAAAAGAAAUACAGAGAUCGCAAUACAUAAUCUACAAGCAUGGUAGUUAUCAAACCAUUUAUAGUGCAUAAGUUUGUAUGCUCCUUCGUUUUGUUGUUCUCUUAUUCUAUGGGAUGAUGGAAUAAGUUGUUUUUAUUUUUUUAAAUUGGCAGGCUAGUUCUAUGGUUGAAGAGGAGAUUCAAUAUCUUCGAGUGGCCAUGGGUCAUGAAAAUGAAUCUUUUGAGGACUUUGUGAAAGCACAUGAUGCAUGCCAAGAGGACCUUAUGUUUUUUCCUACUAACAAUAGCUAUGGUUUAGCUAGUGUUGCUGGAAAUGCUGAUAAGAUUUCUGCUUUGCAAAAUGAGUUUGAAACUGUGAAGAAGCGAAUGGAUGAUGAAGCUAAGAAGGCUUCUCGGCUUGAGCAGAAGAUUAAGCUUCUGACACAAGGAUAUCAGGUAAACUUGGCAUGUACAGCAUCUGCAAUCAAGAUCAUCUAUAUUAACUGGAUUUAAGCAAUAUGCCAUAUAGCUUGGCUUCUUUCGAGUUCUCUUUAUUUGGUUUACUGGAAAUUUUUAAGUGUGCUUUGCGUGCCCUUCCAGCCCAUACUGUGGAGCAUAUUUUAAGCAAGUGGUGCCACAAAAUAUUCAAAUGAUAAUGAGUCUCAGGCCAUCAAUAUCUACAGCUUAGUAAGCUCAAUACGACAGUACACAACACACUGAAAUCGCCAUUUCUAGCAACUGUGUUGAAUCCCUAAUAUUCGCUAUUGCUUCCAUAGACCCUAGGACAUCACUUGUGAUUGGAUGCGGGCACAUACCUGAAGCAGGCGAAACUGUAGUGCUUUGUUGCCCACUGGAUUGGCGCUGGAGAUAAGUGAUACAUGGCAACUAUUGCAGGGGAGGACUUGUGAUAGGCCGGUAUUCUAGUAGUACAUAAUACACAAACUUCUACAGAGAUAGGCUCCAAUAGACAACAGCUGGCUUGUGCCACCAUGAUGCCUUCGAAAUGUGAAAAUAAUCUUUUGCCUUAGACGCACGAUAGCUAGAACAAUGCAAAUUAUGUGUGCAAGUUAGAAUCAAAGAGAUAUUUAAUUUUAAUCCCUGUUCACAUCACAAGCAUUUAUCUCUUUAAAAAAAAUCACUCAAUCAGUCAAAUCCACUAUUAUUGGACAUUUGCCAUUUACCAAGGCAACAUCAGGUGGCAUUGCUGAAAGCACACUUUGUCCUUGUACUGAAACAAAGAACAAUGUUUGCCUUCGAAUACUGAACUAAGAACUUAAUGCUUAGAAGCCUAAAGCCUUAGAUUUCUAGGAUCAACAGAUAUAACUGCAGGUACAUAGUUGUUGAACCCAACAUAACAUUUGGUGACUGUUUCUUAUGAGUAUGAAUAGCGCAUAGUUCAUAACACAUAUCAGCAGACUGCAGUAAAUGAAUAAUCAAAAUUUUUAUGGUCAAUGAAUUUUUUUCAGCUAGGUAGAGAAGGUGAGAUGCAACCAGUUAAUUUUUCCACCACCAGUAAACACAAAACAUUAAAAUACAUAUACCAGAAUCAACUGACACAAUGGAUUUCUUUGGCACUGUCCUAACAUCAGCUUCCCCAUACAUGCUUCGGCGGAUGUUUUUUACCUUCAGCGGCUUCUUGAGCACAAGAAUCUUCAUAUGGCUUUCCUUGAGCCUUCUCGGGCGACAAACAUGACCUCUGUCACGCUCCUGUCUGAAUCGGCCUAGUCAACUCCUGAUGUGGAGAAAGGGAAGGGAAAUUGGGAAGGAGUGUGAGGCAGUGAGAGAGAUGGACAAGGUAAAAGGAAGCAAGAUCAGCACGCUCACCAAAUCUUGCUUCUACUGCUGUGCUCGAGAAACCCAGCCUCGCUCGCCACCACCUGCGGAGAGAGUAUGGAGUCCAGAUGCCCGUAUCCAACGGCACAGACUAGACUUACCAGUGGCAGUCUCUCAGUGAACCAAGAUCUUGGCGGUGUGACGAAGAGCACUGCCCCACCUCGAGUUGCUCCUGCUGUUGGUCAUUGCCACUUGCAUAGUUGCGGUGCUCAAAGGGCUUACAUCUUCAGGAAGCAGCGACAUAGCUGCAGGCCUGCAGCGUACCGCACAGGUGAUGGUAUGAGGGCUGCAGCGGCACUGCUGUGUGAGCGGAUGCCUGAGCCUCCCCUGAGCUUUGCAUGAUCUGCGAACCACAGAUCUGGAACGACGCCCACGCUCAAGUGAAGGCAUCAUCAGGAGACGCGUGCAGUGAGGGGCGGUGGCAGGGAGAACCAGAGAAGAGAAGGGUUGCUGCAUUGGAGAGAUGAACGAGCGAAUGUGGGGAUCGAGGGUUGCCUAGGGGGUCCUCCACAAAAUGGCCAGCAGGGGUUUUUAUGCAAAAUCAAUGGAGAUCACAAAUUUCUUCUUCAUGUAGAAAUAAAUUUUAAUUCAUGGGGUUAACUGAAAAGCAUAUGAACACAUACACUGUACUGUACGGUUGGCUGGAUAGGACCUCAGGUUGAAUUUGUAAGAUAUAAUCUGCUGUCCCUCUUGCUUUUCUGUCCUGCAUUCGGCAGGUUCAAGUGGUCAGCUCUUGGCUGCCACUGUAGAAGUAUGGCAAUAGGCCAUCUAGUCUUCCAUAGUUGGUAGAAGUACACCAGCUGGAGUAGUGGGCUGGUUUAGGCUGGUACAAGAGUAGGUAUUGGCUGAGAUAAGCCAUUUAGAGUAGUUGGACUGGUGUAGUCACCAUCCAAGUAGUGUACCAGCAGGUACAUAGUUUGUGUAUAUAUAUACCCUACCUAUUGCAAUGGAAAACUCAGUUCAUUGCCACUCAUUCAGUUCUCCAGCUUUCAGUUCAAGUCUGAAAGCUGUGUGUGUGUGUGCUGCGUGAGUGAGUGAGGGAGCUCAGGGCUCUUCCUCUUCCUUGGAGCAGGGGUGAGGGAGAGGGAAGGUGAGCAGGGUCUGCUUACCUGGUGCUUGUGUGCAGGUGCCAACAAUUGGUAUCAAAGCUGUACAAGCCGUAGCUAGGUCCACUGACCAGCAAUGGCGGAGGAUGCGGGCCGGAAUGGUGGCGGGGAGGGUGGCGAGCGACAGCUCCAACCGGCGCCACCGCAGGUGGAGGUGCGCGUGGUGAAGGAGUUCGGCGGCAGCGGCUCCUGGCCCAUGCUCACCCGCACCAACUACGGUGAGUGGGCGAUGCAGAUGAAGUGGAAGCUGCGCGCGCGGAAGUGGUGGCGGGCGAUUGAGGAGGAUGACCGCACUGAGGACGCCCAGGUGGGAGUCAUGGAGGCGCUCAUGGCCUCGAUGCCGGCGGAGUACCACGAGGCGCUGGGCGCCAAGGAGACCGCGAAGCAGGCCUGGGAGAUGCUGGAGUCCCUGCGUGUCGGCUCGGAUCGAGCCAAGCGGGCAAGAAUCCAGCAGCUCCGCAGGGAGCUCAACGACAUCAAGUUCAAGUCCGGAGAAUCGGUUGAGGAGUUCACUCUUCGUCUCCAAUCCCUGGCCACGCAACUGGCCACCUACGGGAAGAAGGUGGACGACGAGGACCUCGUCACCAAGCUGCUGUGCACCGUGCCGACAAAGUAUUCGCAGCUCGCCAUGUCCAUUGAGACGAUGUUGGACAUCUCCACAUUGUCUCUGGAGGACGUGGCUGGGCGGCUGCGAGUAGCGGAGAGCCGCAUCACGCCGGCACCAGAGAAGGAGAAGCCCAAGCUACUCCUGACGGAAGAGGAGUGGACCGCGCGCAUGAAGGACAAGCGCCGGACCGGGGAAGGCUCCACCAGCCGCGGCGGAGAUGGCGCCAAGGGGCGCGGGAAGCCGACGGCGGACAAGAAGAAGAAGAAGAGGAACACCGACCCCAACGCCUGCAGGCGUUGCGGGAAGGUGGGGCACUGGGCACGAGAAUGCCCGGAGAAGCCGGAGAAGAAGGAGGAGGCCCACUUGGCUCGGGACGACAGCGACGACGAGUGCGCUCUGUUGAUGGGGGAGUGUUGCGCGCUGCAGGAAGGCGAAGCAGGGGAGGCGGAGGCGGAGCAGGGGACUGCGCCGCAGGCCGUCGAACUUGACGAGUCUCGCGCGCGUGUCCUCCUGGGAGCGGACGGCGAAGAGCUGGAGCAGAGGUGGUACCUCGACUCAGGCGCGAGCAACCAUAUGACAGGAAGCCGCGCUGUUUUCUCCGAGCUUGAUGAAGAAACCACCGGGAGCGUCAAGUUCGGCGAUGGCUCCCGGGUGGCAAUCCGCGGCCGUGGCACUGUCCUGUUCCGGUGUCGGAACGGGGAACACCGGGCGCUGACGGAUGUCUACUGGAUCCCACAGCUGAAGACAAGCAUCAUCAGCCUCGGGCAGUUGGACGAGUGCGGCGCAGAGGUGGUGAUCAAGGGCGGAGUGCUGCGGAUCCGUGACCAAGACCGGUGGUUGCUGGCCAAGGUCACAAGGUCGAAGAACCGGCUGUUUCUGCUGGACCUUAAGGUCGAGCAGCCGGUGUGCCUGGCGGCACAGUGCACGGAGGAGCCGUGGCUGUGGCAUGGCCGGUUCGGGCAUUUGAACUUCGACGCACUGAGCAGACUAGCGGCAAUGGUGAGGGGGAUGCCCAAGAUCCAACACGCCAGCGAGCUCUGUGACAGCUGCCUGGUGGGGAAGCAGAGGAGACUGCCGUUCCCCAAGGAGGCAAAGUACCGCGCCAAGGAGAAGCUUGAGCUGGUUUAUGGCGACCUAUGCGGGCCUAUCACCCCGCCACGCAUGGAGGGCGGAGGUAUUUCCUCCUGCUGGUGGAUGACUACAGUCGCUACAUGUGGUUGCGGCUCCUGACCAGCAAGAGCGAAGCAGCAGAAGCCAUCAAGCAACUCAAGGCGAAGGUUGAGGCUGAGUCUGGGAGGAGACUGCGGGUGUUGCGAACGGACCGUGGAGGGGAGUUCACGGCGGUGGAGUUCGCCACCUACUGCGCGGAGGAGGGAGUGGAGCGCCAUCUCACGGCGCCCUACUCACCUCAGCAAAACGGCGUGGUGGAACGUCGGAAUCAGUCCAUCGUCGGGAUGGCGAGGUGCAUGCUGAAGGCCAAGGGAAUGCCGGCGGCGUUCUGGGGGGAGGCCGUGAGCACGGCGGUGUUCAUUCUCAACAGAGCACCGACGAAGGCGCUGAGCGGGAAGACACCGUUCGAAGCUUGGCAUGGCCGCAAGCCGAGCGUGGCAUUCAUGCGCACGUUUGGGUGCAUUGGGCAUGUGAAGAACACCAAGCCCGGCCUCACCAAGCUUGAGGACCGGAGCACGAGGAUGGUGUUCCUCAGCUACGAGGAAGGAUCAAAAGCCUACAGGCUCUACGAUCCAGUCACCGGGAGGGUGACAGUAUCCCGCGACGUCGUGUUUGAUGAAGCAGGGAAGUGGAGGUGGGAGGAGGAAGACUUGGCGGGAGAAGAGGGCACGCUCGGGAUCGGUGGGUCCUUCACCGUCGAGCAACUGGUGAUCACCAGUCAAGUCCACGCACCAGCCGGAGUCGUGGAGGAAGCAGCAGCCCCUGGAGCAGGGGAAGCAGGGGGCGAGGCGCCAGCAGCAGGGGAAGCCGAGCCGCCCAGCCCCACCACGACGGGCGGCACCCCGCUUCACUCUGUCUCAAGGCAGGAGCAGAGGACUCCGACCACGGCUCAAGUGGAGUAUGCCACUCCACCACCAGACGUCACCGAGUUCGUGGACGCCUUUCACGACGGCGAGGAGGUACGAUUUCGUCGUGUGGACAAUGUUCUCGGUGAUGCAGCAACUCCGGGACUGGCAGCACGGCUGCUGGGCGAAGAGGAGGAGCUCAUGAUGCUGAGCACAGAAGAGCCGGCCACCUUCGCCGCAGCAGAGCGCGAGCCGGAGUGGCGGCGCGCUAUGCUGGAGGAGAUGCGGCAGAUCGAGGCAAACUGGACCUGGGAGUUGGUCGAUCCACCGGCUGGAUGCCGGCCGAUCGGACUCAAAUGGGUCUACAAGGUGAAGAAGGACGAGCACGGCGCGGUGGUGAAGCACAAGGCGCGGCUCGUCGCUCGGGGGUUCGUGCAGCGAGAAGGGAUCAAUUUCGAGGAGGUGUUCGCGCUGGUGGCGCGCAUGGAGUCGGUGCGACUCGUCCUGGCCAUGGCGGCGACCAAGGACUGGGCAGUUCACCACCUCGACGUCAAAUCCGCCUUUCUCAACGGCGACUUGACGGAGGAGGUUUUCGUCAAGCAGGCCCCAGGCUUCAUCGCACAGGGGGCUGAGCACAAGGUGCUCCGCCUCAGGAAGGCGCUCUACGGCUUACGACAGGCGCCGCGAGCGUGGAACUCCAAGCUCGACGCCACCGUGGCGGAGCUCGGGUUCACACGGUGUGCAACGGAGCAUGGCCUGUACACCCGCCGACGGGGGAAGGAAGAACUCGUCGUCGGGGUGUACGUGGAUGACUUGAUCGUCACCGGUGCGCGGGAGAAGGACAUCUCAUCCUUCAAAACCGAGAUGGCGGCAAAGUUCCAGAUGACCGAUCUCGGUGCGCUGAGCUACUACCUCGGCAUUGAGGUGAAGCAGGGAGGCAAGGCAGUCACGCUGGGGCAGCGUGCCUACGCGCGCAAGGUGCUGGAGCGGGCGGGCAUGGAAAAUUGCAGGCCUGCGGCGACUCCGAUGGAGGAACGGAUCAAGCUGUCGAAGCAGAGCACGGCGGAGAAGGUGGACGCAACGCGCUACCGGAGCAUCGUCGGCGGGCUGCGCUGGCUCACCCAUACUCGGCCGGACAUCGCGUUCGCGGUCGGGUAUGUAAGCCGGUUCAUGGAGGACCCGCGGGAGGAUCACUGGAUGGCAGUCAAGCGGGUGCUACGCUACAUCCAGGGGACGAUGGACCAGGCUCUCGUCUUCCCGAAAGGCGGGGGGUCUGAUGGAGGCGGGUUGGAGCUCGCGGCUUACAGCGACGCGGACAUGGCAGGCGAUGUCGAUGGACGGCGCAGCACCUCAGGCGUGUUGAUCCUCCUCGGCACGGCACCUGUCGCUUGGCAAUCGCUGAACAGAAGACGGUGGCUCUGUCGACUUGCGAGGCAGAAUAUGUCGCUGCAGCCACCGCGGCAUGCCAGUUGGUGUGGAUGCGCCGGCUGCUGGGGGAGCUUACAGGCAUGAGCCCCGGCCGCCUGUGCUCAAGGUGGACAAUCAGCCAGCAAUAGCGCUGGCGAAGAACCCUGUUCUCCACGACCGAAGCAAACACAUCGAUGUGAAGUUCCACUUCCUACGUGAUUGCGUCGAGGAGAAGCAGAUUGUCAUCGAGUUUGUUGAGACUGGUCGACAACUCGCUGACAUCUUCACUAAGCCAGUUGGGCGACUUCGGUUCUUGGAGCUAAGGAGCAAGAUUGGCAUGGUGGAGGUCAAGAGUACACAGCAGGAUUAGGGGAAGAUUGUAAGAUAUAAUCUGCUGUCCCUCUUGCUUUUCUGUCCUGCAUUCGGCAGGUUCAAGUGGUCAGCUCUUGGCUGCCACUGUAGAAGUAUGGCAAUAGGCCAUCUAGUCUUCCAUAGUUGGUAGAAGUACACCAGCUGGAGUAGUGGGCUGGUUUAGGCUGGUACAAGAGUAGGUAUUGGCUGAGAUAAGCCAUGUAGAGUAGUUGGACUGGUGUAGUCACCAUCCAAGUAGUGUACCAGCAGGUACAUAGUUUGUGUAUAUAUAUACCCUACCUAUUGCAAUGGAAAACUCAGUUCAUUGCCACUCAUUCAGUUCUCCAGCUUUCAGUUCAAGUCUGAAAGCUGUGUGUGUGUGUGCUGCGUGAGUGAGUGAGGGAGCUCAGGGCUCUUCCUCUUCCUUGGAGCAGGGGUGAGGGAGAGGGAAGGUGAGCAGGGUCUGCUUACCUGGUGCUUGUGUGCAGGUGCUAACAGAAUUAAGAAAAUAUGGAGGGUUUUUGUGCAAAACAGCUGUAGCGUCUGGACAUGAAGGAAUGAGCGCUCUCGUGGAGGCAAACCAGAUUACUCCAUUCUAAAUUUUAAGAUUUCAAGAAUCUUGGACAGUCAAAACAUCUCAAGCUUGACCAAAAUUAUAGAAAUAAUUACAAAGAUUUAUGACAUCAAAUAGAUAUACUAUGAAAAUAUAAUUAAUGAAGGACCUAAUGAUACUUAGUUGGUAUCAUAAAUGUAAUUUUAUCAUAUAAAUUUGGUCAAACUUGAGAUGCUUUGACUCUCAAGAUUCUUGGAAUGACAUAAUUUGGGAUGGAGAGAGAACAUGAUGUAUUCUCUUUCUUCUGUCCCAUUUUGUGAAUUGUAAUCAAAUACUGGACCCUGUUGAAGCCAGCCUGAAUAAUUGAAUAUGAUAGACACUGGGCUGCUGCAAACUAUAUUGCUAGCUGACUAGCUCUUGCUUUUUGCCUGACUGAAUUUGCUCUUUCCCUUAUCCAUUGAAACAAAAUUGUUGACCAUACAGAUUACAUCUUGUCUCAUUGCAUAUCCUAUUCGAGUGCUGAUGUUUUGCUAACAUGCUGUUUGCUUGUUAUUAGGUACGGGCUGGAAAACUGUGGUCACAGGUCCAAGAUACAUUCAAGCAAAUGGACACUGCUGCAACAGAACUCGAGUGCUUCCAAGAGCUGCAGAAACAGGAACAUCUUGCUGCUUCGUAUCGAAUCCUAAAUUUGACUGAAGAAGUGAAUAAACAGAAAGCACUAGAAAGGACCCUCCAGAGCCGCUAUGGUGAGCUGGUUUCUGGUUUUCAGAGGAUACAAGAACAGCUUGAGGAGCACAAGAAGCAACUCAAGGUACAGGAGGCAAUAGAAGCCGAAAAUCGUGCUCAGGAAGAGGAAGUUGUGGCACCGAAUCAUGCUGCUGUUGAGGAAGAGGAUGAAAGGAAGCCUCUCAGCUCUGACGAGAAAUCACAGCAGACAAAUAGAGCUACUGAUGAAGAGGCUGCAGGAAGCAAGGCAAUCACCAAGGAUCAGAUGGAUGUGGACAGCGGGAAUGUAGACGGUGGAUUUGUAGGGCCUAUCCCACCAGCACCAGACACUGAAGGGGAUAAUGAUGAGGUAUCAGUUCAAGAUAACACUUCUAACACCGAGAGUAGUGAGUGUGCCUCCACGAAUGAUGGCGCUGACAAGAUCGAUCAAGCCAAGUUAGAAGGUCAGGAUAAAGCAGAUGACAGUAUGGCUGCUGAUGCUGGCCCUCAGGAGGGCAAGGAUGAACUUGCACCUGUUGGCGCCAGCAUAAGUGAAGAAAACACCACUAUAUCUUUGGAUCAAGCUGUCUCAAAGGAGGAUGAAGGCAGUGCUCCUGAGCGAAGUAUUGUUUGAUGGCUAAUUGAGGGGUAACAGUGUGAAAUUCAUAUAGUAUGCCUCUCAAAAAGGGGACACCAAUUUUUUUUUUUCUUUAGCCUUUUGAUGCACCCCCUUGUUCUCCAACGUGUUUUCAGUCCUAGCUCAAGCUGUGUUUCCAUCGGAGAUUCGAAUUUUAUCUUGAUGUUGAUUUCCAGUUCAGGCUGUUACAAACCUGCUAUGUUCAAUUUUCUGUGGACAAUUUCAUCUUGAUGGGAGAAGAAAAAACAUGCAAAUAUCUAAAGUAACAUUGUACGUGUCAUGAGGCCAUCCUUACAAGAUCUGUUUUCAACUGAUAACUUUGAUGCGAUGCUCAAGAGCACACUGCCUAGUGUACACAACUUGUGUAGGAAAAAGUGCAGGAGCCCUGGUCCAUGCCCAAGCAUGAGGUUCAGGGCAUACUAGCGUCCGGAUAACCUCAGUUUUAUCCACUUCUUGGUCGCGUCGCGUCCAAAUGCCUGCCCAUCCUUUGGACCCAACCUGCAUCCCAAGCACAACAACAAAUAUCUCCUCUCCUUUCUGGCAUGCCAAGAAAUAUCCUAUACAAGAGAUAUUUUUAGCUGCUGAAAAAGGUGCAGGCAUGUGUCGCUGACAGGAGGGCCAAAAGCGCACCGGGUGGAUCCAAGUUAUGUCUUCUUCUCAAAGUAUCAGCAGGGCACAUUUGGGCAACACUGGACCACAGGAAUGGUCAGUGUGAAGGAGUGGGCCACAUCGUUGUGCAACCGUUACCUCAAAAUAGAUUGCUCUGAAUGGGUAAACUGGCAGAUAUUCAGUGUAUUUGGUCUUUACAAUAUAAAUAAAAGGAGUGGCCUCCUUGACAGUUUUUUUACGAGACCCAGUUACAAACUUCUUUUAUUUCUUUUCUAUAGCAUAAGAAAAAUGAAUUAAAUGAAAUUCGUGGAUUUAGCCGACCUUGGUUGUAACCCCAUAGAUAAAAAUGCAAAAUUUCUAUCUUCGAGACGACGGAAAAAGGGCAUUGAACGAGAAAAAAAUCACCCACAGAUAAUUAAACCAUCGUAUGCCCUAGAAGUAAUAUGAGGCGCUUGAAAAUGGUUGAAGUAAUUGAUUAGGAGGAUCACUAUGACUAUAGCCGUUGGUAGAGUUAAUUUUUGAGAGUGAAAAUAUACCAGGGCACACUAGACUGAUUCAGUUCAGUUCAAAUGUUUCUUUAAAGGAAUGUUCAUCUGAAUAUCUCAAGGAAGAUGGACAAAUAUAUCAUGGAAAGAAAAGGUACUUGAGAACUAUAAAAGGGAUUUGAUUAUAAACACAACAUACCGACAUAUUUCUUUAAAGUACAUUUCACAUGCAUAUUUUCCUUUCAGUAAAAGUUCAACUAGAACAUGGUUUUCUCCUAUUAAUUAUGUUAUAGGACGGUUAAAUUAUAAAUUUCCUAAACAAAACAUGCAAAAAUAAAUGAGGAAGCUCAGGGGAAAAAAAAGGGGUCAGGGGAGGGCAAUGCCCAAAUAAAGAAAACGAGACUCGGUAAGAAGACCCCUGAACAGUAGGCACUCUCCUCACCUCAGUCACUACUUUCCCGCUCUAUCCAUAUAUAAACCCCCCUCCUUCCUCCUCUGCAUGCCUCAACAACCCGUCUCCAAGAAACCACCUCCCCUCGCUCCAAUCCCAAUCCAAAUCCUUCGCCACGAACCAAUAGAACCCAAUCCGAUCAGUUCCCCCCACGCAAUUUCCCAUCUGAGUUUCAUCUCUUUCUUUUUCACCGAUAAUAAAGAUCCGAUCGAUCGGAGUCCGGCGGCAGCUAAUUCACCGGCGGGAUUGGAGAUGAAGGUCGACAGGGAAAUGGAGAUUCUGCUCAACGAGAUCCCCCUCCUCCACCACGGUGGCCUCCUCGGCGGCAGCGGCGAGGCUGGUGCGGACGACGACGCCGACCUCUCUUUCCUCAUCCACGAACUCGCCGCGAUGGGCGUCGUGGACGGCGACGACGAGCCACCGGCGCCGGGCGCUGCCAACGGCUUCGGCUUCUCCAGCAUGAUGAUUUACCCCAAGAAAGGCGGCGAGAAUCUGGUAUCCCUGCACCCGUUCUCCAUGGCCGGCCACUGCGCGCACAUGCCGUCUCUGUUUGAUCCCGUCACCUUCGCUGCCGCCGACGGCUGGGACAUCCGGUGCUCCCCGCCGCCUUCUGUUUCUGUGUCGCCACCGCCCGCCACGCCGAGGGCCCGGUGCAAGAACGUGAGGAGGAAGAACGGCGGCUGCGGCGCGGUGACGGCGACGAGCCCCAAGAAGUGCGGAGCCGCGGCGGCGGCGGCGGCGGCGGCGGCCAACAAGUCGCACGGCGAGAGCCUGGCCGGCCUGCGCGGGGUCAUGUCCCACAUCGCGCGCGACCAGCACGGGUGCCGGCUGCUGCAGCAGAGGCUCGACGACGGCAAGCGCGAGGUCGACCACAUCUUCGCCGGCGUGUCGCGCCACGCCGCGCAGCUGAUGGUGGACCCGUUCGGGAACUACCUCAUGCAGAAGCUGCUCGCCGUCUGCGACGCCGGGCAGAGGAUGGCGCUCGUGCUCACCCUCACCGCUGACGCCUUCGUCCUCGUCAGGAUAUCCCUCAACGUCCAUGGGUAUAACUGUCAAUUCACUCCAUGAUUUUUUUUUAUUGUUAAUAAUGUGCAUAUUUUUGCUAGCUUUUGUUGAUGUGUGUGGUUUUGGUUGAAUCCGGUGACGGGUGUUUCAGGACACGGGCAGUGCAGAAGCUGAUUGAGAGCCUGAGGACAAGGGAAGAGAUUAGUCUUGUCAUCGAUGCUCUGCGCCCGGGGUUCUUGGAGCUCAUCAAGGAUCCUAAUGGCAAUCAUGUCGUGCAAAAGUGUUUGCAGGCGUUUGAAGCCGACGAUAACAAGGUAUGUAUGUGUGUGCAUCUCGAAUUUCUUAUGCCGCCAUUUGCUCUGAAGUCUAUAGACAUUUUCGGUUCCAGUGGUUACAUCUUCUGUGGAUGAGUUCUUUGUUACAAGAUUUAGUCGAAACAUUUCGAUUCAGAAAAGUGCUGAUGAGUAAGAGUGAUGAAGGGAGAUAGAAGUAAUUCUGUAUUAUGCCAUUGACAUUCUUUUGAUACUGAUUGAUGACAGAUUUGUCUCGGACUGCUUUCACAUGUCUGAAUUUUACAGCUUCACUUUUUGUUGAAGAUCAGAUACUAACUGACAAAUUGCAAUCUUCAGGCGAUAUUUGAUGCUGCUGCACUCCACUGUCUCGAUAUCGGGAUGCAAUGCCACGGUUGCUGUGUCCUACAGCGGUGCAUUGCACGAUCGCGUGGUGAGCACAGGGACAAGCUGGUUGCUGCCAUUGCUGGCAAUGGAUUCAAACUUGCCCAAGAUGCAUAUGGGUAAUAGUCUGUCCAAAAAGUCCUCAAGAUCCGUUAUUGCAUCAUUUCUGGAACCAACUUGCAACAUUUUUAUGAACUUUUAUCAGCUUUAUUUAAGCGUUGUCUGCUAUGGUUGCAGGAACUAUGUUGUUCAGUAUGUAAUAGACUUGAAGAUACCAAAUGCAAAUUCAAGUCUUGCACAACAGUUUGAAGGCAAGUAUAUCCACCUGUCCAUGCAGAAAUUCAGUAGCAAUGUUGUUGAGAAAUGCCUGAAAGUCUUCAAGGAGGUUGACAAGGCCAAGAUCAUACUAGAAAUCCUCGCCACGCCACACUUGGAGCAAUUGCUUCAGCACCCUUAUGCAAACUAUGUCAUCUACUCUGCUCUCCAGAAUUCCAAGGUAAACCUGAUGAAAAGUAUUUUUAUAGUAACUAUUUGUUUUUUUUGAAAUUUAUUACUAUGAUUCCUUCGAGAAAAUUUAUUACUGUGAUGGGGAUUUCAGGGUUCACUUCAUUCUGCACUGACAAAUGCAAUCCGACCUCAUGUGGAACUGCUUAGGACCAGUCCAUACUGCAAGAGGAUAUACUCUCGAGCUUUGCUGAAGAAAUGAUGAGUUGAUGACAGGUUUUCAGCUUGUAACAAGAACGAUUGCUCUCUUGUGAUAUUUGUUUUUUUCAGUUUCAAAAGGCAUAAAGAUGAUCACAAAAUAGAUCUGUAUAAAUUAGUAUUCUUUGGUCAUGUACUUCUACUUGUACCUGUAAUUGAUGCACGGCUUGUGCCUGGUGCUGCAUGAUCAUCUGGGACAGAAUAAAAUUCAAUCGAAAGUAUUCUACAAACUAUUUCAUAUAUAUGUAAUGUUUUACGUUGUUUAUGGCUGCAAAGAUAUUGCUGUUGUUACCUAUUGAUGCAGUUCAUCAUUAAUGCCAUUGCAACUGCGGAUGGAAAUGUGUAAAUGACACCACCCAACAAGACAAAAAAUGUGUUGCAACUUGGUGUCAUCCCAUUUUGAACUAGAAGUAAAAGAACUACACGAGGGCAUGGCAAUAACUUGGUUGUCUGAAAUAACAAUGGAAGCACUAACAUUCAAUUUUUUAUUUUUAUAGCAGUAAAGCGCCUACGAGAAAUCACUCAGAGCAGGCUAUUCGUUUGGCUAAUAAACCAUGGAUAAAAGUACUAGUCGUUGAUUUGUUGUAAGAGAAAAACACUAUUGAAUAUCUAACAGAUUCGACAGAUAAGCUCAAGCAAACAUGCUAAAAUCUGAGUGAUUUCUUGUAGGUGCUUUACUGAUGCCUCAAUCAUUUAAAGUUGUUGCGAUGGAACUGUUGCUAGAACAAUAGCAAACGGAGUAGGAACAUAAAUGAAGCGAAGUGAAUUUAAUGAAGACCAGAUUUAACAAGUCACAAAAGGAGACUAGCACAUAGGAAAUAAAAUAUUCAUUUUUGUAUGAAACAGGAAAUAAAAUAUUCAUACUAACCCAAUAAUGAAAAAUAAGGGGAGAAAGUAUGUCCAACACUGGAGAAGGAAGUAUUUUUUUUUAUGUACUGCUCAUCAUGCACUGAUUUGUUCUAGUAUGUCAUUGAUUUAUAGUAAAAUACUACGGUUUGUUCUGGCGAAGCUCGAGCAGGAAGCUCGGGCAACCAAGUGGCUUCAGAGACGGCAUUAGCCAUACUCAACUUCAACACUGGAGCAGGACCAGAAGACGAGAUUGUCACUAAGGAACACUGCAUAGCCUCAUGCGGACUUGUGUGUAUUCGAACAACCUGUUCAAUCCGCAUCGGAGUAAACUACCACCUUGGACAGAGAGGAGGGACGAAGAACAGUCCCAAGUUGAGGGUACCCCUGAUGUACCGUAGGAUGUGCUUUAGAGCAGCCAGAUGAGGUUCCCGAUCGUGCAUGUAGAGGCAAACCUGCUGAAGAUUUCUGGAGUGAAGGUCAGGUACUGUAAGACACUGGUCAGGUUGCGGAAGUCACUGGGAUCCUGAGUAGGAGUGCCGGCGUCAGCGGACACCUUCAGCUUAGUGUCCACCAGACGGCUACAAGGCUUGCAUACAGCAACAGUCCCCCCUCACCGUUGUCAGAAAUGUUGAACCUGUCCAUAGCAUGCGCCUGAUCAAAGGAGAGAAGCUCGACUUUACCUACGGUUUUUGAUAAUCAUGAUUCAAACUCUUUUUAGUUGGGAGUUGGGACACUAACAAUUUUUGGAUACAACUAAAACAAUUCUUUACCAACUGAUGAUAAAAAUACCUAACACAUGUCAUAUGAAGCAAUGUUCCGCUAGGCGGCACCUAGGCGCGAUUAGGCGCUGGGCGAGGGGUACGCGGCAUCUGGGCGUUGGGUGGCGCCGAGGUGGUCGCAGAGCUGGGCGAGCCGCAAAAUUUCGCCCCCGCAAGCUGAUGGCGUGGCGCGGAGGCGGACGGCGCGGCCUUUCGCGCGCGUGGAUGGCUUCGGCCGUGGGAAUCACGCGAAAUCCCCGCCGCCGCCUCUGUCCUCCUGCUCCACCGCCGGUUGCUACCCCGCCCCAAGGUCAGUCCCCUCCCCUGCUCAUCUUCUCUCCCCCCGCCGGCAACUCCUCCCCUGCUCAUCUCCCCUCCGCCGCCGGCAGCUCCUCCUCUCCUGCUCCUCUUCCUCUCCCCUCCCCUGUUCCUCCCGGCGCCUAGGAAAAUGCCUAGAACGCCUAGGCGCGAUUACUCCCGCCUAGGCGCUAGGCGGAGGGUCACCGCCUAGAAUCCGCCUAGCGCUUAGCUGAACUUUGAUAUUAAGUCAUAUUGUUGAAGCAUAUAUUUUCUUCUUGUAUUUCUUUUUAGGGAAAAAAAUGUGGCCUACAGAAGCUUCUGUAGCAACCAUACCUAAGUAACACGUGUGAAUUGUGUCACUGUGAUACCGCUGUUGCUGGUACGGCAAAACUUAGACGCAAGAAAUAUAAGUUACAACCAAUGAAUUCUCUUAGUUAUGGCAGCUAUUUGAUGCUAAAGGUGCAGAUCAACUUGCAUCUAAAAUCCCUUGACAUGUACAUGUUCCUAACGUCUCCCAAGUCUGGAUCUGCAUAGAAAUGCACAGAACACACAACAUUCCACAACUAAUUACUGACUGCUUCAUCCUGGCUCUGAUUGUUUCUAUUGAUACAUAAAUUAUACUAGAAAGCAAGUGCAACACACCUGUCUUUAUCAAGCAUUAUGUUUUAGGCCAAAUGUGGCAAAAUCCUAAUACAUCGUUUGAACAUCUUCAGUAUCAAUUGUGUAGAAUGAAGGAGAGAUUAGGGGAACACCUCACACCCAACGUGGGGGGGGGGGGUGUGACAUUGAUAUAUAUAGCCAAUGCAAUGGCAGGUUACAUGCAAUACAUGGCAGGUGCCAAUCAUACUAAAUAUAGCAGCCUUGCCUAAUAUACAUUUUCCUAAUGUACAUAUCUAUCAGCCCCCCUCAGUCGAAGCGUCAGGAUGCCGGAUGCACAGACUGGACCGAAAAUCCUCAAAGAGCUCAAUCGGCAGCCCCUUUGUCAUGAUAUCCGCGAACUGAUACUUGGAUGGCACAUGGAGAAUGCGAACCUUGCCAAGAGCCACCUUUUCACAGACGAAAUGGAUGUCGAUCUCAAUGUGCUUGGUACGGCGGUGGUGGACCGGGUUUGCUAUCAUAUAGACAGCGCUGAUCGUUAUCACAGUAGACAACUGUGGCGACCUUCAAGGGAACAUGAAGUUCCUGAAGAAGCUGUCGAAGCCAACAGCAGUCUGCGACCACAUGAACAACAACCCAGUACUCAGUCUCCGCACUGGACCGGGACACUGUGGUUUGCCGUUUGGACAACCAGGACACCAAGCUGUCGCCAAGGACGAUGCAGAAGCCUCAAGCGGGAGUCGGGGCACCCUGCCCAGUCAGUGUCGGAGUAGGCAAUCAGCUUGUCGACAGGCCCAGUGCCGAUGUGGAGGCCAGCCGACAGUGUGCCCUUCACAUACCGAAGUAUGUGCUUGAUCAGCGCAAGGUGAGCUUCGCGCGGAUCAUGCAUGAAGAGGCACACCUGCUACACAGCGUACUGAAGUGAGCCGGCGAGACUCCGAUACGCGUUGGGGUCGGCGACGGGAGCGCCCUCCGUGGCAGAGAGCUUGGCACGAGAGUCGACAUGUGUCGAUGUCGAGUGACACUCGGCCAUGCCCGCCUUCUGAAGAAGAUCCACCGCAUACUGCCUUUGGCUAAGGAAGAGCCCGUCGGAGGAGCGAGUGACGGAGAUCCCCAGGAAGUGAUGGAGCUCCCCAAGGUCCGUCAUGGCGAACUCAGAGUGAAGGCGAUCGAUGAUGCGACGGAGUAGAGCAUUCGAGGAAGCCGUGAGGACGAUGUCGUCGACGUAGAGCAGCAAGUAGGCACUGACGCUGCCCUCAGUGUAGACAAAGAGGGAGGUGUCGAUGGCAGAAGCGACGAAGCCGAGCUGUCGAACAUACGUGGCGAAGCGCUGGUGCCACGCCCGUGGGGCCUGCUUGAGGCCAUAGAGGGAGCGCUGAAGACAGACGGCGUCGGGGUGCGCAGGGUCGAUGAAGCCGGCGGGUAGACGGUCUCGUGCAGGUGACCGUGAAGAAAGGCAUUCUUCACGUCCAGUUGGUGGAUAGGCCAUUGACGAGAAGCAGCGAUGCUGAGGACGACCCAAAUCGUGGCAGGCUUGACGACGGGGCUGAACGUCUCGUCGUAGUCGAUGCCGUGUCGCUGGGCGAAGCCGCGGACAACCCAAUGAGCCCUAUGACGAGCCAGCGUGACGUCGGAGUGGAACUUGUGCUUGAAGAUCCACUUGCCGGUGACGACGUUGGCGCCAGGAGGCCGGGAGACGAGGCGCCACGUGUUGUCGACGAGAGCCUAGUCACGGGGAAUCGGCGAGGCAGUGGAGGAGGCAGCAACGUGAGCAGUUGGUGGGAAGCCGUAACGAUCAACAGGCUUCAGCGAGCCGGUCUGGAAGCGUGUCAUAGGCCGGCUCGAUGUAGGAGGGGCGGAGGAGGCGGAGGUGGCGGGGAAGGCGCCACAACUGGAAUAGAGGCCGGCUGUAUAGGAACAACAGGCGCCUGGUCCAUAGCCGGUGGAGAAGGUUGUGCAGCGGUUGUCACAGGGGCCGGUGCAGAAGUGCCAGCACGCCAUCGAGUGUAGACCCGUAGAGGUGGAGGGCCGGCUGGGGCAGGACCAGCUGGGGCAGGGGCAAGGACCGGGCCAAUUUGUAGAAUGGCCGAGUCCUCGGCAAGCUCCUCCAAAUGAGCACGGUGUCGUGGCUGCGUAGCAUCAGCUGGUGACAGCGUGGCAGUAGUACGAGGCACCGGUGCAGUAGGACCUGUAAGAAGAAAGUACAGAGAGCUUGGCAGCACACUGGGAGGGUUAGUACUAAACGGAAAUUGCGUCUCACCGAAGACAACAUGACGGGAGAUGAUGAUCCAUUUAGUUGUGAGGUCGAGACACCGAUACCCCUUGUGUGAGGAGGGAUAUCUGAGAAAGACACAAGCUAUAGAACGAGGGGACAAUUUGUGUUUGGAAGUGGCGGUGAGGAUGGGAUAGCAGAGGCAACCGAAGACAGGGAGAAUGGUGUAGUCUGGGGGUUGUCGGAAGAGUUUCUCAUAAGGAACCUGAUGCUGAAUGGCUGAACAGGGGCGCCUAUUGAUGAGAUAUGUGGCUGUAGCUAGUGCCUCUGCCCAGUAUUUAGGUGGCAGGUGAGCGUGGAUGAGCAGCGUGUGGCAUAUGUCGUUCAGGGAACAGAUGAUGCGUUCAGUCUUGCCGUUUUGAGAGGUGUAAGGGCAAGAGAGACGUAGGUGAAUGCCGCUAGAGGCAAAGAAGGUGGCGAGGGCAUGGUUGACGAAUUCAGUGCCAUUGUCGGCGCCUUGACAGGAAGGCUAAACUGUGUGGACAAAGGCGCAAAACUGAGUAAUGUGAGUAGCUACCUCGGACUUGUGGACUAGGGGGAAGGUCCAGCAAAAAUGGGUGAAGUCAUCGAGGAUGACAAGGUAGUACUGUGCACCAGAAAUGCUAGCGACCGGGGAUGUCCAAACAUCACAAUGUAUAAGCUCAAACGGUAAAGAGGAAACUGAACUGGAAUUUCCAAAUGGCAGCCGCACAUGCUUGCCAAGUUGACAUGAGUAACAUAGAGUUUGAGCUGAUUUGUUACAGAAAAUCAAAUUAUUUUGUCUAAGCAAAUGGAGGGCAGCGGCUCCUGGAUGACCAAGACGAUGAUGCCAUAAGUUGGUGGAGAUGGUGAGGUUGGCUUGUGGCGUGGCAGGGACGGUGUAGAGGCCGUCGGAGCUAUUGGAGCGAAGAAUCACACGUCUGGUCUGCAGGUCCUUAACAGAAAAACCAAAUGCGUCAAAUUCGAUAGUGCAAUGGUUGUCAUGAGUGAAUUGGCGAACUGAAAGUAAGUUGCGCACUAGAGAGGGGACAACUAGGACACUGUGAAGCAAAAAGGAAGACGCGUGGCCUGGUAAUGUGGAGCUGCUGGAGCAAGAGACAGGAAGAUGAUGACCAUUGCCAACAGUGAUGGAUGGAAUAGAAGAGGGUUGACGAGAGGGGAGUAUACCAUCCAAAUUGUGCAUGUGGGAGGUGGCGCCAAAGUCCAUGACCCAGCCAGAGUUCUGGAGCGCCAUCAGGUUCAAGGCGGCGAUGAGGCCGGACUGAUCCCACACUCGAGCGGAUGGAGCUGUUGGAGGGGGAGCGAAGAUGGUGUGGGUCUGCGGACUGGCGCCCAUGAUGCCCUGGCCGCGCCCGCCCUAGUCACUGUGAGGGGGCCAGCCACCGGUGCUGUUGCCCUGCUGCCACCCACUGCCUGGAGGAGGAACACCGCCCUGGAAGGCCCAUGGGUCGUAGCAGAACCAGGGCCCCAUGGGGCGGUGGCCCCAUUGUUAUCCACUGCCGCUGCCCUGCUGCCAGCUAGCACCGGUGCCUUGGCCGCGCCAGCUGCCCUGUUUAUUGCUGCCCUUGCCCUUCUUGCCACCCCCGGAGCCCUUGGGAGCAGCGCCAGUGGCCAUAGAGGAGGAGGGGCGGCUCCCUGGAGAAGUGCAGGUGGAGCCAGAGGCAGCCACCAUAGCAAAUGCAGUCGUGGUCUUCUCGUCGUUGGCGAGGCGCAACUCUUUGAGGGAGAGCAUUUCUCGUGCCCCAGAGAAGGAAGGCAGCACGGUGGAGUUGGCGAUGUCGUCGACAGUGGCGGUGUAGCGCGGGUUGAGGCCGCGAAGGAGGCUGAGGAUGAGCUGGGAGUCCUCGAUUGUGUGAUUGACGUCCCGGAGGGCAGCAGCCUUGAUCUUGAGCCUCUGGUAGUACUCGUCGAUCGACGAAUCACCCUGCUUCAGGGAGUGGAAUUCCUCCAACAGGAAGACGGCCCGGGGCGCACGAUUGGAGCGGAAGAGUCCCUUGAUGGCGACCCACAACUCGCAGGCAGUCUGGUUCUCGUCAGUGAUGGCGAGGUCGAGAACCGAGUCAUCGACGGUGUUGAGGAUCCAGCCACGGACGGUGCACUCUGCGAUGUCCCACGAUGGAUCCGCAGCCACAGGAGGAGGCCCGUCGAUGUGGGGACGGAGGCUGAAUUUCCCGCACAGAGCCUUGAAGAACGAAGCCCACUUGGUGAAGUUGGGGUUCUUCAUCUCCAGGGUCACCGGGAUGUGAGUUUUCACAUUGACGGCUGUGUAGGGGUGGACGAUGACAGCCUGGGGUGGAGCUUUGGCAGCUGCGGCGGCGGCAGCGGCAGCAGCAACGACUGCGUCGUCGUCGCCAGGCAUGGUUGCCGGGAGAGGUGGAGGGGAAGAGGAGCGGAGGCAGAAGGUCCGGAUCAGGGAUCAAUUGAUCGCGGCUGAUACCAUGUAGAAUGAUGGAGAGAUUAGGGGAAUAGCUCACACCCAACGUGGGGUGGGGGGUAUAGCCAAUGCAAUGGCAGGUUACAUGCAAUACAUGGCAGGUGCCAAUCAUACUAAAUAUAGCAGCCUUGCCUAAUAUACACUUUCCUAAUGUACAUAUCUAUCAAAUUGUUAUAAUGCGGGGGGGGGGGGGGGUUCCUAUUUAGCUGUUAAUGGUACACCUUGUAAGACAUAAUCUGCUGAUCCGAUUGCAAUUGUUUUGCUUUACUGGUACAAUCAGGAACUGUAGAUGAUCAGGAUCAGCAAUCAGCUAAUCGGUUCUGGUACUGUUUACAGUAUGGCAAUAGGCCACUACUGUAGCCAUUAGUUGAAGGUACAUCAGAAAUAGUGUUGUACUAGGAGUAGGCAGGGCUGUACCAGCCAUGAUCUAUGUACCUGUAUAGAGGUACUAGAUAUGUGUAUAAAUAUGUAUGCAAUACAUCAAGCAAAGGCAGCUCAUUUGCCACCAACAUUCAGAGUUCAAAGUUUCAGCCCACGCUAAAACUUGAGUGUUCAAAAGGUUCAGAAUUUCAGCCCAUGCUGAAACUGCUGAACUGGGUGUGUGCUGGGUUCUUCUCUUCUUCUACCUUGGUCCAAGGAGUGAAGUAGAGGUGGUAAGCAGCUUGCUUACCUGUUGUGGUUGUGCAUAGACCAACAAGUGGUAUCGAAGCCGUACAAGGGCGCAUCAGGCUUAACUGCCGACGAUGGCCAACGAUACAGAGGUGGCACCAGGCACCGAGACCAGCUCUGGCUCAGGAGCUGAGCAACUGACUGGUGGAGGCGGGGAGAUGGUCACACAGAUCGUGACCGAGGUGCGCACGGUCGAGAGGUGGGGAGCACCACCUGGCUGACGCUCACCCGCACCAACUACGGCGACUGGGCUGUCCACAUGAAGUGGAAGCUCCGUGCACAGAAGUGGUGGGUGGUGGUGGAGCCUGGCGGCGCCAGUGAGGAUGUGGAGGUGGGAGCCAUGGAGGCUCUGCUGGCGUCCACGCCGCCGGAGUUCCAUCAGCCGAUUGGCGCCAAAGGGAACGCCAAGGACGCCUAGGAGAUGCUGGCGUCGAUCCGCCUCGGCUCGGAGCGAGUGCGGAAGGCGAAGACGCAGCAGUUGCGGCGGGACUUCAAGGAUCUCAAGUUCCGCCAAGGGGAGACGGUGGAGGAGUUCGCCCUGCAGCUGCAGGGGCUGGCCAGCCAGCUGGCCACCUACGGGAAGCCGAUGGAGGAUGAGGACGUCGUCUUCAAGCUGCUGCGGGUCGUGCUGCCCAAGUACGUGCCGCUGGUGUUGUCCAUGGAGACCAUGCUCGACCUCUUCACGCUCACGCUGGAGGACGCGGUCGGGCGGCUGCGCACCAUGGAGGACCGCGCACCCGUGGUCAUAGAGAAGACCAAGGGCGGGCAGCUGCUCAUGACGGAGGCCGAAUGGACCGCUCGCCAGGAGAAGUGGCGGACCGAGGAAGGCCCGAGCAGAGGUGGCGGCGCGGAGGCGGACAAGCGCCGCGUCAAGGUGCCACAGGGGAAGAAGUACACCGGCCCCAACGCCUGCCGGCGCUGUGGGAAGGUGGGUCACUGGGCGCGAGUGCCCCGAUCGUAAGAUGGAGAAGAAAAAGGAGGCGCACCUGGCGGCUGCAGACAACGACGACGACGAGCACGCACUCAUGAUGGCGGAGUACUGCGCGCUCCAAGGCAAAGCAGGGGAUUGCUGCGCAGGCCAUCGAUCUUGACGAGCCACGUCCGCAGGUCCAUCUGGGGGCGAUCGGCGACGAGCUGGAGCAGCGCUGGUACUUGGAAUCUGGCGCGAGCAACCACAUGACAGGGUGCCGCGCCGCCUUCUCCGAGCUGGACAAAAAGACCACCGGGAGCGUCAAGUUCGGCGAUGGCUCCCGGGUGGUGAUCCGCGGCCGCAGCACUGUCCUGUUCCGGUGCCGGAACGGUGAAGACCGGGCGCCAACGGACGUCUACUAGAUCCUGCAACUGAAGACGAGCAUCAUCAGCCUUGGGCAGUUGGACAAGUGCGGUGCUGAGGUGCUGAUCAAGGGCGGCGUGCUGCGGAUUCGUGAUCAAGAGCGGCGGCUGCCGGCUAAGGUCACAAGGUCGAAGAACCGGCUAUUCUUGUUGGACCUAAAGGUCGAGCAGCCUGUGUGCUUGGCGUGCACGGAGGAGCCGUGGUUGUGGCAUGGCCGGUUCAGGCAUUUGAAGUUCAACGCGCUAGGCAAGCUGGUGGCGAUGGUGAGGGGAAUGCCAAAGAUCCAGCACGCCGGCGAGCUUUUACGACAGCUGCCUGGUAGGGAAGCAGAGGAGGCUGCCAUUCCCCAAGGUGGCAAGGUACCACGCCGGUGAGAACCUAGAGCUCGUUCACGGCGAUCUGUGCGGGCCCAUCACUUCGGCCAUGCAUGGCGGGCGGAGGUACUUCCUCCUGUUGGUGGACGACUGCAGUCGCUACAUGUGGCUGCAGCUCCUGACAAGCAAAAGGGCGAGGCAGCGGACGUCAUCAAGCACUUCAAGGCGAAGGUGGAGGCAGAGUCCGGGAAGAAGCUGAGGGUGUUGCGGAUGGACCGUGGCGGCGAAUUCACGGCGAUGGAGUUCGCCACCUACUGCGCGGAGGAGGGAGUGGAGCGCCAUCUCACGACGUCCUACUCACCGCAGCAGAACAACAUGGUGGAACACCAGGACGUCCUAC